UGCCGCGUGCAGGAAGACGGCCCUAUGGGUUGUAAACUGCUUUUAUACAGGAAGAAMACCACCCACGUGUGGGUGACUGACGGUACNGUAAGAAUAAGGACCGGCUAACUCCGUGCCAGCAGCCGCGGUAAUACGGAGGGUCCAAGCGUUAUCCGGAAUCAUUGGGUUUAAAGGGUCCGUAGGCGGNCUAWUAAGUCAGAGGUGAAAGYUUGCAGCUCAACUGUMAAAUUGCCUUUGAUACUGNUAGWCUUGAGUUAUAGUGAAGUGGUUAGAAUAWGUGGUGUAGCGGUGAAAUGCAUAGAUAUCACUUAGAAUACCGAUUGCGMAGGCAGAUCACUAACUGUAUMCUGACGCUGAGGGACGAAAGCNUGGGUAGCGAACGGGAUUAGAUACCCUGGUAGUCCAYGCYGUAAACGAUGGAUACUAGCUGUUGGCUUCGNUCAGUGGCUAAGCGAAAGUGAUAAGUAUCCCACCUGG
rnacentral:rRNA from 1 species